rnacentral:rRNA from 1 species
AUUGAACGCUGGCGGCAUGCCUUACACAUGCAAGUCGAACGGUAACGGGCCUUCGGGUGCCGACGAGUGGCGAACGGGUGAGUAAUGUAUCGGAACGUACCUUUCAGUGGGGGAUAACGUAGCGAAAGUUACGCUAAUACCGCAUAUUCUGUGAGCAGGAAAGCAGGGGAUCGCAAGACCUUGCGCUGAUUGAGCGGCCGAUAUCAGAUUAGCUAGUUGGUGAGGUAAAGGCUCACCAAGGCGACGAUCUGUAGCGGGUCUGAGAGGAUGAUCCGCCACACUGGAACUGAGACACGGUCCAGACUCCUACGGGAGGCAGCAGUGGGGAAUUUUGGACAAUGGGGGCAACCCUGAUCCAGCCAUGCCGCGUGAGUGAAGAAGGCCUUCGGGUUGUAAAGCUCUUUCGGUCCGGGAAGAAAUCGUAUGGGUUAAUACCCUGUGCGGAUGACGGUACCGGCAUAAGAAGCACCGGCUAACUACGUGCCAGCAGCCGCGGUAAACUACG